rnacentral:rRNA from 1 species
GAUGAACGCUGGCGGCGUGCUUAACACAUGCAAGUCGAACGGGAAACCUUUUAUUGAAGCUUCGGCAGAUUUAGCUGGUUUCUAGUGGCGGACGGGUGAGUAACGCGUGGGUAACCUGCCUUAUACAGGGGGAUAACAGUCAGAAAUGGCUGCUAAUACCGCAUAAGCGCACAGAGCUGCAUGGCUCAGUGUGAAAAACUCCGGUGGUAUAAGAUGGACCCGCGUUGGAUUAGCUGGUUGGUGGGGUAACGGCCCACCAAGGCGACGAUCCAUAGCCGGCCCGAGAGGGUGAACGGCCACAUUGGGACUGAGACACGGCCCAGACUCCUACGGGAGGCAGCAGUGGGGAAUAUUGCACAAUGGGGGAAACCCUGAUGCAGCGACGCCGCGUGAAGGAAGAAGUAUCUCGGUAUGUAAACUUCUAUCAGCAGGGAAGAUAAUGACGGUACCUGACUAAGAAGCCCCGGCUAACUACGUG